rnacentral:rRNA from 1 species
UACAGAGGUGGCAAGCGUUGUUCGGAAUUACUGGGCGUAAAGGGCGCGUAGGUGGCCUGCUAAGUCGAACGUGAAAUCCCCGGGCUCAACCCGGGAACUGCGUCCGAGACUGGCAGGCUUGAAUCCGGGAGAGGGAUGUGGAAUUCCAGGUGUAGCGGUGAAAUGCGUAGAUAUCUGGAGGAACACCGGUGGCGAAGGCGGCAUCCUGGACCGGUAUUGACGCUGAGGCGCGAAAGCCAGGGGAGCAAACGGG